ensembl:lncRNA
AGGCAGACACAGAAAAGAAAUACUGUGCAGUUCAACAUAUAGGCGGUAACGAGACUAGGCAGAAAAAAAGUAGAGAUGGCUAAGACCUGGCAGCAGGGCUGAAGGGGGAGUCAUUUCUGCAUGGGUGCAGAGGUCCUAUGAGUUAUGAGGAGAAAGGUUGUUACGGACAGUGGUGCAAAGUAUGUAGCAUCGGGCAGGUCUGCUCUCCCCCUGCCUGAGUCUCCUAUUGCCAAAGUAUUCCAAAGAGAAGCAUUACGUAUCUAAGAAGAGAAAAGAGGUGAAGCAUUGCGGAGGAUGGAGCGUGAACACAGGAGCACCCUGUGGGAAGAGUAGGGAAGCUGAAAUGAUCUCCUGCCAUUUCAGCAGAUAGAGGAAUGUGGCCGGAGGUGAAAAUGGGCAGGAGACUCGGGAGGCUCUCUGUGGCAGCAGAGCCGGCAUGCUCGUGUUGGCCAUUUCUCAGCUGGGGAAUGUGCCACGGAGAGGUUCCCUUUAGCAAGAGAGGCAGAGGCUCCCUUUCUCAGGUCUUUCAGGGUGCUGUCUGCCUUCCUCCGAAACGUUUACCCAGGAGGAUGGGCCAGGUGGAGCUCCGUCCGUGCUUCAUCCCCUGCCCCCCUCGACUCCCAGCCCAUGUCCGGUCAGGUGAGGCGCCCAGAGUACCUCGUGAGCAGCACCACCGCCUUGCUGACAGUGCCUGUGUGUCCCCCUAGCAACCCCGACGAUGUUGUGGAGGCCGGUGGGAGUGAGAAGACCAAGGAGGAGGCCCUGGCUGGGGAAACUGAGGAGGAGAUGGGGCUGGGGACUGUGAAGGCAGAGGAGGAGGAGGAAAAGGAGGAAGCUGCAGCCAUAGACAAGGCGGAGGAGGAGGCGGGCCCGGCCCAUGAAAAUGACAAGGAGGAGUCGCCAGCCAGCGACCGGGCUGAGCAGGAAGACAAGCCUGCCCCCAAGGUGGACGGGACGGACGAUGAAAGCUCAAGGAGCAUUGUGAGUCUGUGUGAUAGUGACCACGAAGAAAGUGAUACAGGUAGGAACAGCUCUCAGGUAGGGGCCAGUGGGAGAGGGUUCGCGGGACACUUGGGUUAUGCCUGUUGCUUGGAGGGUGGGGCGGGUGAGUCUGCAAUUGAAAAACAGAAAGAAAUUGGUGUAAAGAUGUUCGUCGCCUAUUUUCCUAAGGAGGGGGAGCAGGUAUGA